rnacentral:tRNA from 1 species
UGGCUCAGACGGUAAAGCAUCUGCCUAUAAUGCAGGAGACUCAGGUUCGAUCCCUGG